AUUGAACGCUGGCGGCAUGCUUUACACAUGCAAGUCGAACGGCAGCGCGGGCUUCGGCCUGGCGGCGAGUGGCGAACGGGUGAGUAAUACAUCGGAACGUGCCCAGUAGUGGGGGAUAGCUCGGCGAAAGCCGGAUUAAUACCGCAUACGACCUGAGGGUGAAAGCGGGGGAUCUUCGGACCUCGCGCUAUUGGAGCGGCCGAUGGCAGAUUAGCUAGUUGGUGGGGUAAAGGCCUACCAAGGCGACGAUCUGUAGCUGGUCUGAGAGGACGACCGGCCACACUGGGACUGAGACACGGCCCAGACUCCUACGGGAGGCAGCAGUGGGGAAUUUUGGACAAUGGGCGAAAGCCUGAUCCAGCAAUGCCGCGUGUGUGAUGAAGGCCUUCGGGUUGUAAAGCACUUUUGGCGGGAACGAAAAGGACUGUGCCAAUACCACGAUUCGAUGACGGUACCCGCAGAAUAAGCACCGGCUAACUACGU
rnacentral:rRNA from 1 species